GCAAGCUGUGCUACUGAUUAAAUUGUUCUCACUGUCAGGAAAUUUCUACUUAAUUCUCAGUUGCUUCUCUCCUUGAUUAGUUUCCAUCCAUUGUUUCUUGUCCUGCUUUCAGAUGCUUUGGAGAAUAGGUUCACUCCCUUUUGUUUAUAGCA